AAGCAAAAAACAAUUCCCAAACUUGAAACAUAUACUUACAUUCAUAUCCAUCUCAAACAAAAAUACACUCCCAAUUAGAACGAAAGCUUUAAGUUCGUACUACAUCCAACCUUAUUCAAGCACUAGCAUGAGAACAAUAAAAAAAUAAAAUUUCAAAAAAACUAGAUCAAGCUAGCCUGCACAAGACUCACGCCCUCGCUCGCAUCCCCUGUAAAGAAAACAAAGCUAACGAAAUGAGCUAAAAGCCCAGUGAGGUUCCAUACACAUAGCCAAGUAAUUAAAUAAGGACAUUAAUCAUGUAAUAACAAGUAAUCCAGAAAACAUUUACAAUAUAAAGUAAUGAUAAUACAUUCAUUAAAAGGAUACAUGCUCACAUGGAGCCCUUCGUUCAUUCAUUCCACCAACAAUUUCCUUAUUCCUCCAGCAUUAAAAAUAAUUUCAUUUGUAAGUGAAAACCCCUCCAUUGUUCUUGCCAUUCAUUCAUUCAUUUCAUUUUCCCCAUACUAGACACUGGCCAGUCUCCACCAGACUUCGUGGUCAUACUCGAGUAUACCAAAUAUUAACCCAGGGUCACCAAUCGCCCGACCGAGUCCGCUUUUGGCUCGAGUCCGCUUUUGGCUCGAGUCGAUCGGCAAUGAAGGGCAAGGGCCCAGUUCAGCCAAAGGCUUACAUUCAUGUACAAGUAGUAUUUAAACAUUUAAUCAUUUAAUCAUUGUAAAUUUCACAUUCAUUUAGGUCGAGUGCGAUAAAGUACACACUCGCCUAGCAAAAUUCAUUUCUAAGAAAUCAUUGAAAACAUUUAACAUUUAAUCCAACAUUCACAAAUAGUCACAUAAUCACAACAAUUCACAUAGUCAUUGAAAACAUAACGUACAAAGAACACUCACCUAUUUAAGUAAAAUAACGUCCGAAGUUUCCUUCCGGAUAAUGCCCUCAAUCACCAAGGAACCCUAAUAAUAACCAAGAGAAAAUAUUACAGUUAAACCAUCCAAAGUUUAGGUAAACCAAAGAAAAUCUGAAUAACUACUAGUACAAAGUAUAAGUAUAGUUUUGGAAGUGAAAAAAGUACAUUAAACCAAAGGACAUGAGUAAAAUAUUUGUAAAACUUAUGCUCGCUCGUAAAACUUUGAAAUCUCCAUUUGAGUCGAAGAAACGAAGAAAAUGUAUUUCUAUUAGUCGUAAAUUUCAUUUUUCCAAGGGUACAAGUUACGGACAGAUUCUAACUUAUAUACCUCUAAUAAAGAAGACUUGAAUACCUUAGAUGAUUCAAGUUAGUUUCAUCCUCAACCUUUACUCAAGUCGCGAGUACAUCUACCUAGCCCUCGAGUGCAAAUUUGGGCAGCAUGCUCUUUGUAUUUAUCUAUUUUCCAGCCAUUUAUGGCUUAAUUAUUUUCCUCAAUCAGCCCCCAAAAUCACCCACAAAUAAUCUCAUUACAAUAUCCGUUCAAUAGGCUAAAAGUCAUUCCAUUACAGAACCAAGCUAGAAAAGUGACCGGAAAUAAGGUUUAAGGUAAAGAACAAAAUGAUAGGUUUGACGUCUCUUAGCGUAUCGGUCACAACCAAAGCUAUACUGAUAGGAUUGGAGUACAGUUUAUACCGUUUCAAAAUAAGACAAAAGACUACAAUUUUCAUGAAGACAACUCAGCUCGGUUCACAGUUUAUCCAGGUCUAAUUUACAGAUUACAGAACCAGAAUUUCACUGUCAAGUUGGAUAAGAGCACUGGGUUCAAAUGAUAAUAACUCAGGCUACACAAGUCCGAUUGAGGCGUUUUCAGAUGCCUUGGAAAGCUAAAACAUAAGACUACAACUUUUAUGUUUUGGCCAACUGCUGAUUUAAUACGGAUCAAGGUGAAAAAAUGAAGCCAGAAUGAUGAAAUGUCAAAACUGUCCGCAAAACUCUACCUAUGGCAGUCAAGGGUAUUUUUGUCAUUUCAGGUGAUACAGUACUCGGAUUGAGUUGAAAUUUUACAGGCAACUAUAAAAUACCAUUUUCUACAACUUUCAUGUUUCGACCUAAGCCUAAUUCGGCCUGUAACAUAGACGAACUAAGCAGGUCAGAACAGGGCAGAUUCAUCACUAUCCAUGCUGGAACUUUCUCUACUAAAGCUGGAAUUCUAGAACUAAAGCUGGAAAUUUCAACCAAAGCUAGAAAACCAUAUACCAAACCUUAAAAGUUCACAUCAAAGUUAAACCAUCUCAUAUCAAAACUAUCAAGUUCAUCUCAUGGUUGGAAAAUGCAUAUCAAGGCUUGAAAUUGAACAUUAAAGCUGGAAACUACAUGCUACCCUAGCCAAAACCAUAAAAUCUUUCAUAACCAUGCUUCUUUUAGCCUUAAUCAUACCUUAUCUUGAAUGAAUCUCAAGAGUCAAGUAAAAAGAUAUGUUUUCUAGAAAUUUUACCUCAAAACCCCAAGAUAACAAGCAACUCAAGAGCUUUCUUUCCCAAGUACUCUACCAAAAAUUUCUUCCUCCAAAAACUCUCCACCAAAGCUCCUCCUCCUACUUUAAAAUCAAUUUUUUGUGGAUUGUUUUGGAAGGUUGGAAUAAAACUCAAAUAUCAAGCAAGGUUUUUGGGUUGUAAAUGGAGUUUGCUCUCUCCUUUCUCUUGAGAGGAGGUUCGGCC
rnacentral:lncRNA from 1 species